GUAGUAUUCCCUCCGUCCCAAAAUUCUUGUCUUACAUUUGUUUAGAUACGGAUGUAUCUAACACUAAAAUGUAACUAGAUACAUCCGUAUUUAGACAAAUUUAAGACAAGAAUUUUGGGAUGGAGGGAGNNNNNN
rnacentral:pre_miRNA from 1 species